UACGGGGGGGGUAAGCGUUGUUCGGAAUUACUGGGCGUAAAGGGCUCGUAGGCGGCCAACUAAGUCAGACGUGAAAUCCCUCAGCUUAACUGGGGAACUGCGUCUGAUACUGGAUGGCUUGGAUUCGGGAGAGGAAUGCGGAAUUCCAGGUGUAGCGGUGAAAUGCGUAGAUAUCUGGAGGAACACCGGUGGCGAAGGCGGCAUUCUGGACCGUAACUGACGCUGAGACGCGAAAGCGUGGGGAGCAAACAGG
rnacentral:rRNA from 1 species